rnacentral:rRNA from 1 species
CAGUAGCCACGGUAAUACGAGGGGGGCAAGCGUUACUCGGAAUUACUGGGCGUAAAGCGUGCGUAGGUGGUGGUUUAAGUCCGUUGUGAAAGCCCUGGGCUCAACCUGGGAAUUGCAGUGGAUACUGGGUCACUAGAGUGUGGUAGAGGAUAGUGGAAUUUCCGGUGUAGCAGUGAAAUGCGUAGAGAUCGGAAGGAACAUCUGUGGCGAAGGCGACUAUCUGGGCCAACACUGACACUGAGGCACGAAAGCGUGGGGAGCAAACAGGAUUAGAUACCCCCGUAGUCCCUGUCUCUUAUAC